rnacentral:lncRNA from 1 species
GAAGACGUUUCUGACACAAAACCCCAGGGGAAUCCACGGAGGAGCUGGGCUGUCAUUACUUAUUAACGGUGGGCCUGAUCCCCAGCCAGGCUGGCCCAGGGAAAUAGCCUGUAGGGAGGCCGGCCUCGCUGCUACCAGGUGGAUUAACACUUUCAGGGCGGGAGGGAGCUGUUUGGGGGGGGGGUCAAUUGUCACAUUGUUGCAUGUAAGAGGGGCCAUUCUUUACACAUUAGACACAGGCGCCUUCUUCCUCGGCGUUCCCUCCCCCUCGGCGUCUGCAUUCUUCUCUUCCCUUCUCCUCCUGCCCGCUCUGGUUUUAAGCCAGCAAACCCACAGGAUGUGGGAGACUGCGCUCGCUCACGGGGAAGAGGAAGAUCUGAGAAAGCACACGGCCCGGAACCUGGGGAUGAUGUCUUCGGAGAGGGCCCGAGGAGGCGGGGAGAGGGAGAGGCAGCGGAGGGGCAGCGGGAGCCGGUACAUCCCGCUUGCAGACCGGGAAAGCCUGGCCCUGAGGGUGAAGUCACCGGGAAACGGAGGGUUCUCGGCCAGCAAUAAGGUGCCCACGGGUAUCAGGACGCUGGAGAAGGUCCCUCGCUGCUCCUCGCCACCGCGCUGUUGAAAUGACAUGGCUAUGGAGGAAUCCUUUCGUUCUGCAAGCGUAACCACAGGAAUCAGGAUGAGCGAAUUCCGCUCCCUGGAAACCCGGGGUGGCAUCUGCUUUGUCCGUAGAGCUCCUAAGCCAGAGUUCCAUAGCCUUUCAUGGCCUUCGUGUUGGGGAUCGAAAUAAAGCCCACGGAAUUCUCUGCUGGGAAAGGUGA